UACGUAGGGUGCGAGCGUUGUCCGGAAUUAUUGGGCGUAAAGCGUAUGUAGGCGGUUUCUAAGUCUGAUGUGAAAUCCCGGGGCUCAACCCCGGAACUGCAUUGGAUACUGGAAAGCUAGAGGACGAUAGAGGAUGGUGGAAUUCCAGGUGUAGGGGUGAAAUCCGUAGAUAUCUGGAGGAACAUCAGUGGCGAAGGCGGCCAUCUGGAUCGUACCGUGACGCUGAGAUACGAA
rnacentral:rRNA from 1 species